UACGUAGGUGACCAGCGUUGUCCGGAUUUACUGGGCGUAAAGAGCGCGCAGGCGGUCGUUCAAGUCGAGUGUGAAAGCCCCCGGCUCAACUGGGGAGGGUCACUCGAUACUGAUCGACUUGAAGGCAGGAGAGGGAAGCGGAAUUCCCGGUGUACGUGGUGAAAUGCGUAGAUAUCGGGAGGAACACCGAUGGCGAAGGCAGGUCUCUGGGCAUUAACUGACGCUGAGGAGCGAAAGCAUGGGGAGCGAACAGG
rnacentral:rRNA from 1 species